AAUUUUGGACAAUGGGCGAAAGCCUGAUCCAGCAAUGCCGCGUGCAGGAUGAAGGCCCUCGGGUUGUAAACUGCUUUUGUACGGAACGAAAAGCCUGGGGCUAAUACCCCCGGGUCAUGACGGUACCGUAAGAAUAAGCACCGGCUAACUACGUGCCAGCAGCCGCGGUAAUACGUAGGGUGCAAGCGUUAAUCGGAAUUACUGGGCGUAAAGCGUGCGCAGGCGGUUUUGUAAGACAGUGGUGAAAUCCCCGGGCUCAACCUGGGAACUGCCAUUGUGACUGCGAGGCUAGAGUGCGGCAGAGGGGGAUGGAAUUCCGCGUGUAGCAGUGAAAUGCGUAGAUAUGCGGAGGAACACCGAUGGCGAAGGCAAUCCCCUGGGCCUGCACUGACGCUCAUGCACGAAAGCGUGGGGAGCAAAC
rnacentral:rRNA from 1 species